rnacentral:rRNA from 1 species
CGGUGUUUAACUGGCGUGAUGUGGGACGUCCUACCGGUGGGCUUAGCCUCGCGAGGGGCGGCCCAACUAAUAUCCCGUCGCGGUGCUCUUUACUGAGUGUCGAGUCGGGCCGGUACGUUUACUUUGAACAAAUUAGAGUGCUUAAAGCAGGCUAUCCUCGCCUGAAUACUGCGUGCAUGGAAUAAUGGAAUAGGACCUCGGUUCUAUUUUGUUGGUUUUCGGAACCCCGAGGUAAUGAUUAAUAGGGACAGAUGGGGGCAUUCGUAUUGCGACGUUAGAGGUGAAAUUCUUGGAUCGUCGCAAGACGGACAGAAGCGAAAGCAUUUGCCAAAAAUGUUUUCAUUAAUCAAGAACGAAAGUUAGAGGUUCGAAGGCGAUCAGAUACCCGCCCUAGUUCUAACCAUAAAUGAUGCCAGCUAGCGAUCCGCCGAAGUUCCUCCGAUGACUCGGCGGGCAGCUUCCGGGAAACCAAAGCUUUUGGGUUCCGGGGGAAGUAUGGUUGCAAAGCUGAAACUUAAAGGAAUUGACGGAAGGGCACCACCAGGAGUGGAGCCUGCGGCUUAAUUUGACUCAACACGGGAAACCUCACCAGGCCCAGACACCGGAAGGAUUGACAGAUUGAUAGCUCUUUCUUGAUUCGGUGGGUGGUGGUGCAUGGCCGUUCUUAGUUGGUGGAGCGAUUUGUCUGGUUAAUUCCGAUAACGAACGAGACUCUAGCCUGCUAAAUAGGCGUACCUUAUGGUAUCGCGAAGGCCCCCGGCUUCGGCCGGUGGGUUUUUACUACCAACGUACAAACAAAUCUUCUUAGAGGGACAGGCGG